GAUCAGGAGAGAUGACACCGACGCCGAUCAGAUGGGUCGGCUUAACCAGGCCAUGCAUCCGUCUGUUCGGAGUUGGUGUCACCUCGCCUGAACA
rnacentral:pre_miRNA from 1 species